rnacentral:lncRNA from 1 species
GUCGACUUCUCUUUCACUUGGCUGUCAGUAGAUCCCAGUGAGUGUCCAUCGAACACAUCUUCUGAGCUACUGGUUGUAUCCUGUUCAGAAAGUGCGUUGGCACCAGCUAGUUGUUCAGAUACAACCUCUGGAGGAGUGGGCAACUGAAGAUGGGUGGAGCCUGUGGAGCUCUGACUUGACAAGGUAGUCAGGAAACGAUCCUCUUUCUCUCCAUUUUGCAGUGCUG